rnacentral:tRNA from 1 species
GUCGGGAUAGCUCAGUUGGUAGAGCAGAGGACUAAAAUCCUCGUGUCCCCCGUUCCAAU